AAACGCCCACCUCCCCUUGAUAGAUUCAACUGAGCGUUUAUUUUUCCGGGCUCAGUCGUUCUCUAAAGUCCGGUUGAGCAUCAUGUUUUGGAGGAUCGCACUUUUGAUUUUUGUGUUUGCCAUUAUUCUGCAUGCUGACAGAGCAGAGGACGAACAAUCGUCGGAAGGUUUCGAAACUGCCUCGGCUAUGAAUCAACUUUUUAAAGUUCCCAAAAGGUGUCCAACCUGGGAAGUACUCCACAAAGGUCGAUGUUUGCCAAUACAUAAAGCAGAUGGCACAAAAAAAUAUAUGACGGACUGCUAAGUACAAUAUACAAAAUCACAAAAACAAAAAAAAAGUUGUUACAAAACUAGAAAUAUUCUACUGCUGAUAAGAAGAGUCAACAUUUUUGAAAAGAGUGAGUAAACACGAGAUUCCCUCCCCGGCGGUUAGUUCUUCGCGAGUGUUCUCGCGAGCAUUAUGUCUCAGCGAUUCGUACUGCUGGUGAUGCUAACGUUGGCGAUAAUUUUACUUCAGUUGGAAGUUGCGGAAGUCGACGGAAAAUCGUCAUCGGAGAGCGUCGAAAGCAGUUCUGCCAUGAACCGAGUGUUUGCAUCCGCAACCUGGUGUCCUCCCUGGCAGGCGCUAGUGCGGGGACGAUGUCGAGCGGUUCUAAAGUCGGGUUAGGAUCGAUGAAUUGCAUGUUCCUCAAAUACAUGGACUGAUUCAAUCAGAAAAAUAAGAGGAUGUAGGUUUAUUAUACUUAGUUUGAAAACUUGUUAAACCUUUAACCUCGCAUAAGACCUGAUAUUUUAACUUAUCGUGAUAAUAAAAAAAUGUAAAUUUAAUAAUUUAAACAUACUGAACCAUGAACGAUUUUAAAAAGAAGCUCCUCUAGACUAAUAUAAUCUAAGCUAAUCUAAUCCAAUCUAGUUUCAUCAACAAAAACUACUUUAAUAAAUUUUAUUGGAAUUGUUACUUUAAUUGUAUGUUAAAAAUAUUCAGUUUUCUCCACAAUACGUGAACCGGGGUGACAUUUUAUCUGAAAUGUUACAUGUAACUACUGGAAUGAGUUACACAAUGUACAUGAACAUUUUUCAUAAUUCGACGCCAGUUUACGUCUGACAGCCGGAGACAGCGGUUUUUUUCUUCUGCUUUUUUUCGGGCGCGGCACAGUGCUUACGGAUGGAGGUGGAAGAAUCCUCCGACGGGGGCGAGUUUCGUUCCGUAAAUGGAACGGGGAAGCGGAGGAAGAUGUAACCGUAGGGGACUUCACUCGUGAAGUUCUACGAGAUCGUCUGUAGUAGUGUUCGUAAAUAAAAAACCUUAGCUUGGGAGGUGUUGGGUAUCCGGUGGUUUUCUUCAACGAGGACCCAGCACAGCGCCAAUACCAGCGACGUCUCAGUGUGCAGCCAGCGCUACCAACGAGCUGCCGCAACCCACCACCAGAGGACUCAGACAACAGUGGGUGGGGUAGCGAAGGAGUCGUGACAGGGUGAAUGGGGGUCAGGGGUGAAGGCAUGACGGAAGAGGUGGAGACGAAGGGUAGCAAGGACCGCCAUCGUCGAGCUGAUCCACGAACUCGGUCUAUUUUCCGGACGACACCAUCGCGAGCAGUUGGAACGCUUUUUCCACUCCUGUGCCCGAAAGUGAAGUCAACUUUUAAAGUGCCACAAAAGUGCUAGUUGUGCCACCCCAGAGCUUCAGGAGAAGCCGAAUUGUUCCCGUGUGGAUUAAGAGGACACCAGGACCCCUUGUGCUUUGGCAUAGCCAUUACGGCCAAGUGCACCAUCCGGAGACUCGCACUACAUCCGAGUCGCCGCAGAAGCCGAACAGCUCGUACCUGUUCCUUAGUCCGGGAGUCCGUAUACCCUCGACGGUAAUCCGAAGGCCACUGCCGUAACCAUCGGUGGCGGAGGACAGGACGAGCCGCUUAACGGGUCCAUCGACGAUCGCGCCGGAGCGCCAGUAACACCCCGCGCGAGGACGAACGGCCUAGCCGUACGCCAAGAGAGAGAGAGUUGGUAGCAGAAGUGAGAGCAGAGGUUGAAGCGGAAGGAGAGGAGAGCAGGAAGCGGAAGGUGAAGUACCGGCGUCGCUGGAGUGCUGCGGUCGACGACGGGGCCCCGAAGAGAGGAGAAGAAGAAGAAGUGAAAGGUCAGGUCAGUGUAGGAUUAAGAAAGUGGGAGGAAUAAAGCACUGUAGAAGAAGGAGAAAUAAAGUGUGUUUCUGACCCGCA